rnacentral:sRNA from 1 species
CUUUUAAUCAAUUGGUCGCAGGUUCGAAUCCUGCACGACCCACCAAUCGUUCUGGUGGAACGCGAUAGUAAAACGUGAAGGAUAACGUUGCGCAAGCAACGGCCCGUAGGGCGAGACGAAGUCGAGUCAUCCUGCACGACCCACCA